rnacentral:rRNA from 1 species
AUGGACUUCAUCGAGGGAUUGCCGGCGUCCGAGGGCUACGAGGUCAUCAUGGUCGUCGUCGACCGCUUCACCAAGUACGCACAUUUCGUGCCUCUCCGCCAUCCCUUCACGGCUGCAACGGUGGCACGUGCCUUUUGGGACAAUAUCAUCAAGCUCCACGGCGUUCCUCACUCCAUCGUCUCCGACCGGGACUGCAUAUUCACCAGCAACAUGUGGCGUGCCAUUCUUGAUGCUGCUGGCACCAAACUGAGCUACUCCACGGCGUACCACCCACAAACUGACGGCCAAAGCGAGCGUGUGAACCAGUGUCUGGAGAUGUACCUGCGCUGCGCCGUCCAUGAUACACCAUCCAAGUGGCGCAAGUGGCUCUCGACAGCGGAAUUCUGGUACAAUACUACCUAUCAUUCCUCGCUGAAUACCUCACCCUUUCAGGCACUGUAUGGGAAGGAGCCCAAUUUUGGAGGACUGCCGACGCUCACCGCACAAUUGCCAGCAGAAACGAGCUCAGAGCUGGACUGGGCCACGCAUACAGACGCCCUCCGGGCACAGCUCGCGCGCGCCCAGAAUCGUGUCAAACAGAAGGCAGAUAAGCACAGGACGGAGCGCUCGUUCGCGGAAGGUGAUCAAGUGCUACUCAAGCUUCAGCCGUACGCGCAGUUUACGGUGGCUAAUCGCCCCUGCCCCAAGCUCGCCUACAAGUUCUUCGGACCGUUCACUGUCCUGCAACGCAUUGGCGCCAUGGCAUACAAGCUCCAACUGCCGGACAACAGCCGGAUACACCCAGUUUUCCACGUGUCACAGCUGAAGCCUUUCACACCGGACUACUCGCCGGUCUUCUCCGAGCUGCCUCGCGCGCCAGACCUCACCGCGGCUCCCCUCCAACCCGUGGCCAUCCUGGAUCGACGGAUGGUCAAGGAAGGCAACAACUCGGUGGUUCAGGUGCGCGUUCAGUGGUCAUCUCUUUCUCCAGCGUCAGCAACCUGGGAGGACUACAACGUGCUGCGCCUUCGCUAUCCUACGGCACCUUGCUGGAAGGACGACGCUGCCGCUCAAGGCGGGGCAACUGUCACACCUGAUACACCUGAUACAAGUGUAUCGGUGGACAUGUAA